ensembl:snRNA U4 U4 spliceosomal RNA
AGCUUUGUGCAGUGGCGGUAUCGUAGCCAAUGAGGUUUAUCCGAGGCACAAUUAUUGCUAAUUGGAAACUUUUUAUUGUCAACAGGGGUUAUUUUGGUGGGGAGGUUAUGGUCUAUCUUUAGUUUUUAUCUUGUAGCUCUCUGAAUUAAAAAGAAAAAAAGUAUU